UACGGAGGGUGCAACCGUUGCUCGGAAUCAUUGGGCGUAAAGCGCACGUAGGUGGUUUGUUAAGUCGGGUGUGAAAUCCCUGGGCUCAACCCAGGAAGUGCACUCGAAACUGGCAGACUUGAGUACUGAAGAGGGUCGCGGAAUUCCCGGUGUAGAGGUGAAAUUCGUAGAUAUCGAGAGGAACACCGGUGGCGAAGGCGGCCAACUGGACGAAUACUGACGCUGAGACACGAAGGCGUGGGGAGCAAACAGG
rnacentral:rRNA from 1 species